UCACAGGGGUGGGUAAAUUUCAGAGUUAGGCUCACCUAUAGGCUCUAGUAUAUUGGAAGAGAGUAACAAAAUGGCAUCCAAUAAUAUUGGUGUUUCCAACCUAGGGAUCAUCCCUAACCAUCUGCCUAUCAGUCAGAUGUUCUAAGACUGGCAUGAAAUCAGAAGACUGCCAAUUAGAAGCAUUCAAGAGAUUUGUUUGGAAGAGACCCUACCAUCAUGCAUUGGAUGUUACGUGAUGGGUCAAGCCAUACAUUUAGGCAUGUCCAGUAAUACUCCAACAUCAAAUGAAUUCAUCCAUCCAUUAAUUCAUAUGUGAUCUCAAGAGAAGUUUCCAAUGACUUAUUAACAGAGGAGGAAAAAAAUCCCACCACUCCAAUGUAGAAGUCUCUUUCCUCUGAUUGUUGUGUAGCUGAAAGAAAGAUAUAUGACCCAAGUGCUGUCAGUGAGACAUACAGCUCAAGCAUUCUAUUUGGAAGACUCUUACAUGGAGAAGAAGGCACUGGUUUUGCAUGGAUGUGACUUUUUACAGAGACUCUAAAUUACUCAUUUGGAAACAGUUUCAGAGUCAUCUUAGUCAUGUAUAACAGACCUGGACUUUGUUCCAGACCUUUUAGAUCUUGAAAAUAUCUAGAAAAUGGAUAUUUACAUUAAAAAAGUACUGUGAGGCUUGACCAAGAUGGCAUCAAAGGAAGAUUCCUGUUUCACUCUUUGGAGAAUAAUCUGAAAGUUAUCUGGGAGGACAUUACACCCAGAGGGUCCCGUGACUUGGGGCAAAACUGGAACACAACUUCAGCAUUAGAGACCUGCACAGAUCACACCAGAAGGAACACUAAAGUCUUUUAACUCAUUCAACAAAAGCCCAAUCAUCCACCCCCUGACUCCCUGAUGUAUGAUGUACAGAAGCCUGCAAAGACCAAAUAUCUAAAAUCAUAUGAAGCGUGGACAAGUUAAAAUAAGUAAAGCCAGAAAACCCACAUUGCCAUGUGUUGGAACAGUAGGAAUUCUUAAAAGUUCUAAGUUACUUCUAAGGAUACUAUUUUUAAAAAAGCAAAUUCUGAAGCAACACAAUGGGAAGACAGAAAAAUACAUGGCACCUAAAUUCCUCAAAGGCCACAAGGAGAGAACAACUUUCUAGAAUUCAACCACAGAAACACUGACGAUCUUCAGUUCUUAUCAGACCUAGAGUUCAAAUUUGGCGUAAUACAGAAAUUAAAAGGAAUGAAAGAUAUCACAAAAGCACCAGUCAAAAAUGUACUAGAUAACUCAGGAAAACAAACAAACAAACAGAUGAAUGUCCUGAGAAAUAAAAUUAAAUGAAAAGAAGAUAGAAAUUCAAAACUUUCAAUAUGAAAAUAAUGGAGACGUGAGAUGUAACUCAAUAGUCAUAUGCCGUGGAGUUUGUCAGAAGGAAGACGCUGCUGAACUGCUGUAAUAAGAGAAGCUCUCCUAAGUUGAAGUUUGCAACAUAAAAGCACUCUAGGAAGAAUGAAAUGGCAGCUGGGAACAGCACUUUAGGCACUGGAAGCAAUAUAGCAGCUGUUAGUGGACAGCAUUCCUCUUAUAGACGUCUAUGUGAUUUUCUUAGCCAGGGACACAUCUGCAGGGCAUUAUGAAUCUGCCAGAAGAUUAAA